rnacentral:rRNA from 2 species
CAGGAUGAACGCGGCGGUGUGCUAAUACAUGCAAGUCGAACGCGUUGGCCCAAUUGAUUGAUGGUGCUUGCACCUGAUAGAUUUUGGUCGCCAACGAGUGGCGGACGGGUGAGUAACACGUAGGUAACCUGCCCAGAAGCGGGGGACAACAUUUGGAAACAGAUGCUAAUACCGCAUAACAACGUUGUUCGCAUGAACAACGCUUAAAAGAUGGCUUCUCGCUAUCACUUCUGGAUGGACCUGCGGUGCAUUAGCUUGUUGGUGGGGUAAUGGCCUACCAAGGCGAUGAUGCAUAGCCGAGUUGAGAGACUGAUCGGCCACAAUGGGACUGAGACACGGCCCAUACUCCUACGGGAGGCAGCAGUAGGGAAUCUUCCACAAUGGGCGCAAGCCUGAUGGAGCAACACCGCGUGAGUGAAGAAGGGUUUCGGCUCGUAAAGCUCUGUUGUUAAAGAAGAACACGUAUGAGAGUAACUGUUCAUACGUUGACGGUAUUUAACCAGAAAGUCACGGCUAACUACGUGCCAGCAGCCGCGGUAAUACGUAGGUGGCAAGCGUUAUCCGGAUUUAUUGGGCGUAAAGAGAGUGCAGGCGGUUUUCUAAGUCUGAUGUGAAAGCCUUCGGCUUAACCGGAGAAGUGCAUCGGAAACUGGAUAACUUGAGUGCAGAAGAGGGUAGUGGAACUCCAUGUGUAGCGGUGGAAUGCGUAGAUAUAUGGAAGAACACCAGUGGCGAAGGCGGCUACCUGGUCUGCAACUGACGCUGAGACUCGAAAGCAUGGGUAGCGAACAGGAUUAGAUACCCUGGUAGUCCAUGCCGUAAACGAUGAGUGCUAGGUGUUGGAGGGUUUCCGCCCUUCAGUGCCGGAGCUAACGCAUUAAGCACUCCGCCUGGGGAGUACGACCGCAAGGUUGAAACUCAAAGGAAUUGACGGGGGCCCGCACAAGCGGUGGAGCAUGUGGUUUAAUUCGAAGCUACGCGAAGAACCUUACCAGGUCUUGACAUCUUGCGCCAACCCUAGAGAUAGGGCGUUUCCUUCGGGAACGCAAUGACAGGUGGUGCAUGGUCGUCGUCAGCUCGUGUCGUGAGAUGUUGGGUUAAGUCCCGCAACGAGCGCAACCCUUGUUACUAGUUGCCAGCAUUAAGUUGGGCACUCUAGUGAGACUGCCGGUGACAAACCGGAGGAAGGUGGGGACGACGUCAGAUCAUCAUGCCCCUUAUGACUUGGGCUACAACGUGCUACAAUGGACGG